rnacentral:lncRNA from 1 species
UGCAGAGAAUGUAUACUUCUUUGUAGGAACUGUAGUAAACAACUGAGUUCUUUCUAUCAUUUUUGUAUCUGUGGUUGAUAUUUGCAGUGGAGUAAGGGUCUUAGUAUGUAACCUCUGCUGUCCUGGAAUGUGUUACAUAGAACAGACAGGGAUCCAGCUCAAUGACGUAUACCUGCCCUUGACUCUGGGAUUAAAGACAUGAACAAAUACACCCUGCUUGUCCAUGAUUUUUCUCAUUAGUGAUUCUUCUUACAAUUUCUGGGAUGUGUCCUCAGUACUGUUGAUCUAUUUCACCCUACAUCUCCCUCUCAAUUUUAAUUCCUCUCGAAAGACUUCACCCUAUUCAUUUAAAAUGUUCAUAAGCAACACAGGUGAACCUUUAACUCAAUUUCCUUUAAAAUGUUAUGGUACUUACAUUAUAACUUCUGUGUCAGGAAGUCAGUGGAGGAAGCACCAGAAUUACAUGAAUAUAUGGUCAAGGAAGCGUACAUUUACUUUACAGUGAUGUCAGUACCAUGCUUUGUGAUGUACACAUGUAUGGGGUAUUUUAGGAUGCAGUGACUUAUGAUGAUGUGCAUGUGAACUUCACUGGGGAAGAGUGGAAUUUGCUGGAUCCUUCUCAGAAGAGUCUCUACAAAGAUGUAAUGCUGGAGACCUACUGGAACCUCACUGUUAUAGGUAU